rnacentral:lncRNA from 1 species
CCCCUUCUUCCUGCUCGAGCCUUGUUCCUUCUCUUUCUCCUCCCUCUCGGGUUUUUUCUCUCCCCACUUCGCCCUAUACUACGAAUCGGCAUUUUGGCCUAAGAAACUUUCAUUUGGUCCGUGGAUCUUGAAGAGCAAGGUAUCCUCUUUCCCUCGUAGCUUUUUUUCACAUCGAUUCGCUAUAUAUUAGUUGGAUUUUUGAACUUAAGGUUUCAUGAAACCGUAGGAUGCCGAGGCAUGGAAAAGCUAGGAAACCAAGGUAACCUCAGCGCACAUAGUUAUGUUAUGUGUUCAUUGUUGUGGAUCAAACAGGAAACCCUAAUUGUAGGUUUAUUGUUAAGUGCUUUCGGUUCUUACAACGAAAUAAACUUAAUUGUAGUUAUGGCGCCAAGUUGACCGGAAAUGCCUUCGAC